UCAGCAUCUUCACCCAUCAUGCAGAUGUGGUCUGGAUCUAGCAUUCCAGCACUGGUGAAAGUUACAGACGUACGACCCCCUCUUCCUCGUCCCAAGCCUCGGCCCGGUUGAUAUCCAACCCCAAAACGGUCUUUCUUCUCAGGGACCUCCAUUAUCCUGCCCCAGCCUGGAGCUUCUCCGCUUUUGACCACCUCAGCAGCUUGCUUGUAUGAAGCGAUGGAUGGUUUCUCUUCCUCUUGCUUGGCGAACAAAGCAUUCUCCACCCUGACGGUUUCAAAUGCCUGACUCGGCGUUUCCCAUAUCUCGCCGUCCAUCUCAACAUACUUGAACGAAGACAGGUGGCUGACAAAGAUGUCUUCCUCUCCGCAAACAGUAACGACUUG
rnacentral:lncRNA from 1 species